AGCGAACGCUGGCGGCAGGCCUAACACAUGCAAGUCGAACGAAGCCUUCGGGCUUAGUGGCGGACGGGUGAGUAACACGUGGGAACGUAACUUUUGGUUCGGAACAACUCAGGGAAACUUGAGCUAAUACCGGAUGAGCCCUUAGGGGGAAAGAUUUAUCGCCGAAAGAGCGGCCCGCGUUAGAUUAGCUAGUUGGUGAGGUAAAGGCUCACCAAGGCAACGAUCUAUAGCUGGUCUGAGAGGAUGAUCAGCCACACUGGGACUGAGACACGGCCCAGACUCCUACGGGAGGCAGCAGUGGGGAAUCUUGUGCAAGGGGCGAAAGCCUGACGCAGCCAUGCCGCAUGAAUGAUGAAGGUCUUAGGAUUGUAAAAUUCUUUUACCAGGGACGAUAAUGACAGUACCUGGAGAAAAAGACCCGGCUAACUUCGUGCCAUCCGCCGCCGUAAGAC
rnacentral:rRNA from 1 species